AAAGAUUCAUAGAAAUUGUUCCAUGCCUCAAGUUUGGUUAACAAGAAGAACUUGCUCGCUCAUUUGGUUAAAUACCUGAAUAUUUAUUCCUUAACAUGUCUUCUGUUGUUUAGCAGAAAGAAAAGAAACAAUUCUUCCAGUGAUUAAUCUGUAGAGAAAGUUGUCUCUGAAAUUUUUAUCUGGAAAUGGAUACUUUGGAUACAGAUGAUUUAUGCUUGAAUUGGCACAUGAUUGAAGUUAUAGGGUGGUUAGCCACGUUGUUCAUACCUUCGUCACCACCAUCACCUCCUGCCCAGCUGUCUUGAGACUGAAUAUAGGUCGACCGGGUCUUAUUGGUAAGCAGUGGCUCUUCCUAUGUGUGUAUGGAUCAACAACUUCCGACACCCAACUUCCAACCUUUAAUCUAAUGACUUGAUGACUAAUUCUCUGUUGCAGUACUGCAUUCUCACUUUGCACCACCGUGUCGACCAAAGAGACAACCAAAUAUUGAAGCGCAUACAUUAUACUGUACCAGACAAUGCAAAGGUGUGAAGUUCCUUUGUGCUCAACGGCAACACAGAACUUCUAGGCCUGACUUGUCAUUCUUCCUGCAGCAUGGUUGAGCGUGUCAUCGUUUGUGUGGAUCUUCUCGUUUGUUGUUAACGAGCAGCAGUGCACGACGAGACAAUUCAAAUUCUGGAACUACAAAGAUACUAUUCAAGAAAUACGGGAAUACAAAGCAAGAGGAUGUGCUCAACUUUUCUCUGACUUAUUAUGUUUACAUGUAUGAUUGCUGGACUACCGGUAUGGCUCGUAUUCUUUAAUUUUUCAAGGUAAACUACCGGUCUUCAUCAUCGACUGCAAGGGGAGAGCAGCUUAAUUAUUGAGUACGUCAGAGAUAUCGGAGUGAAGACAAUCAUUCCAGAUGUUACUUGAAGCAUUGAUGUGUUCUCAUGCCAGCCGUUCAGACUGCACCCAUUUGCUUGCACAAUACAGUACACUUAUGGUGAAAUUUGGUAAGUUCUUGCAUACUGUUUUAGCAGUCCGUAUGGUUCAGAUCCAUUAUCCUGUGAG